rnacentral:lncRNA from 1 species
CUUUUUUUGCAUUUUGCGUUUUUUUUUUAGAUGAUGCGCAGCGUAUAUUCGGCGUAUAAUUAUGCAUAUAGUCAAUUAUUUCGUUUUAUUGUGGUAUUAGAGGUGAUUGAUACACAAAUACAUGUAUAGAAGUGUAUAUCUUGAGGCUCUUUUAAAUCAACAUUUCCCAGACGAGGGGCUUGUAACAGGAAACUAAUCUUCAUCAAUCUUCAUCUCGAAUAUAAAAUUAAUUUGCAAUUUCUUCUAGGGGCUGUUUACUUAUUUUGUUUUUGGAAAUUCC